rnacentral:rRNA from 1 species
CUACGGAGGAUGCGAGCGUUAUCCGGAUUUAUUGGGUUUAAAGGGAGCGUAGGCGGGAGCUUAAGUCAGCGGUUAAAUGGUGCGGCUCAACCGUGCCCUGCCGUUGAAACUGGGUUUCUUGAGAGUGCAAGAGGCGGAUGGAAUUCAUGGUGUAGCGGUGAAAUGCUUAGAUAUCAUGAAGAACUCCGAUUGCGAAGGCAGUCCGCUGGGGCACGUCUGACGCUGAUGCUCGAAGGUGCGGGAAUCAAACAGGAUUAGAUACCCUGGUAGUCCGCACGGUAAACGAUGAUUACCCGCUGUCGGCGGUAGACAGUCGGCGGCCAAGCGAAAGCGAUAAGUAAUCCACCUGGGGAGUACGCCGGCAACGGUGAAACUCAAAUGAAUUGGCGGGG